rnacentral:rRNA from 1 species
ACGGAAGGCAGUAGUAGGGAAUCUUCGGCAAUGGGGGCAACCCUGCCCGAGCAACGCCGCGUGAGUGAAGAAGGUUUUCGGAUCGUAAAGCUCUGUUGUAAGAGAAGAACGUUAGUGAGAGUGGAAAGUUCACACAGUGACGGUAACUUACCAGAAAGGGCAGGUUAACUACGUGCCAGAAGCCGAGGUACUACGUAGGUCCCGAUCGUUGUCCGGAUUUAUUGGGCGUAAAGCGAGCGCAGGCGGUUUAAUUAGUCGGAAGUUAAAGGCAGUGGCUUAACCAUUGUUCGCUUUGGAAACUGUUAGACUUGAGUGCAGAAGGGGAGAGUGGAAUUCCAUGUGUAGCGGUGAAAUGCGUAGAUAUAUGGAGGAACACCGGUGGCGAAAGCGGCUCUCUGGUCUGUAACUGACGCUGAGGCUCGAAAGCGUGGGGAGCAAACAGGAUUAGAUACCCUGGUA